UACGUAGGGGGCUAGCGUUGUCCGGAAUCAUUGGGCGUAAAGAGCGUGUAGGCGGCCCGGUAAGUCCGCUGUAAAAGUCAAAGGCUCAACCUUUGAAUGUCAGUGGAUACUGCCGGGCUAGAGUCCGGAAGAGGCGAGUGGAACUCCUGGUGUAGCGGUGGAAUGCGCAGAUAUCAGGAAGAACACCGACGGCGAAGGCAGCGCGCGGGGACGGUACUGACGCUGAGACGCGAAAGCGUGGGGAGCGAACAGG
rnacentral:rRNA from 1 species